rnacentral:lncRNA from 1 species
AAUUUCUGCCGCGCUUCGGCCACAGUCUCGUUAACGGCGUCCGUCAUGUCGUACGCUGUAUUCUCUCUCUCGCACGGUUAACAGUGCUCAGUUCUACCCCUGCCUCCUCUCGCUUUCCGACUACUCGGCUGCGCACUCGUCUUACCAAGCAACGUGUUUUGUUCUUGUCCAGCCAGCAACCAACUUUCAUUUGUUGCAGCAAUUUCAAUUGCAUAUCGGUCGGUGCCAGGCAUGCCCCAAGCAUUCGCUCCGACUUUCUGCUCCCAGUAGCAGCAACACCACCUAUCUGUGGCAGUAUCCGACGGAUGCGAAACGCGAUCAACUGGAGCCUUGCCCUUUGUAUGUGUGCUGCAAGUGUUUGCUUGUGGCAGCUUUGUGUACAAAUUCUAAAGAAAAUUCGAAUUUAAGUUUUAAUUUACCCAGAUUCCAAUUAAUUCAUGAGAAAUAUAAAUUAAUCGAUGAGAAAGUGAUGGAAGUAUUGAGAAUAAAAUGCAUAAAUCCAAUUAUUAUGUAUUUGGAAAAACGUGACAACCUAGGAACAACAAUUGUUGCAAAUGGAUUCAGUUGCUCAAAAAUAAAACUAAGGGAACCUGAAAUUGUGUGAAAAAUAUACAAAGUGUUGGUCACAAACAAAAUCGUUUUAAUGUUGAAUUAAAAGUAAAAAGUGAAGAAAUGAGCAAACAAAAAUACGCAAACGAAAAUAAAUAUUCUGUGAAAUUUAAGAAAAAAAAACAUUUUGAAAAAUAAUCAAAUGUGGCCGAAAUGUUAAAAGUAUUCUUUUCUGAAUAAUUCCAACUAUAGAAGUCUUAGGCAGCUCUCAUUAGGAUGCUGUCCCCUGACCUGACCACCACCUGACCUUUCACUCUCGGAAUCACAUCGCCAGCCCAGCCUCAAUUAGUGGGUGGGAAGUGGAACCACUCCAGGCCACCAUGAAGCACUAGAAUAAUCCGUUCGAUCCGACAAGGGAAGAGCACACACACACACACACACACUCAGAUUUUCGGCUCAUUAAGCCCUCAUUGGCGUCCGUCCCAUACCCCAACUGUCUGACUCAUUCCAGUUUCAAAACUCCGUCUGGAGUUGCAACCCUCAUUAGAAUCCGCAUGUCUGCGUUGCUGCAACUUCACGGAUUCGCCCCGUCCGUUGUGGGCAGAGCAACUCCACCUAUCCACUUAUAGUUCCAACAGCGCUUUAACAGUGCACUGUUGGGACAGCACAUACUGUAGACGUUCUGUUGGGCAGCACUGUAGACGCUCUGUUAUGGCGAGCGCUCGCUACACCUUGGUAUUGGUGAACUUGAUAAAUACACGCGCCGCCACUUGCUCUCGCUCUUUCUCUCUGUCUCUUUUUGUUUGUGGCGGCUGCUCUCCCUCUCAGUCGUUCUGUUUCUGCGUCUGUUUCUAUUUCAAGUUCUUUUUUCGCAAUGUUAAGGUCAAUACAUUGCCAGUGAGUCUGUCUGUGUGUGUUUGCAUUUCCACAUGGUUGCAGCUUGUGCAGCGGUGAGGUUGCAUUUUGUUUGUUGAUUAGUUCGCUAUUGAAUAUGUUGCCAUGCACACUCACUCUUCCAAUCUCUCAUUGAAUGUCAUCUCAUGUGCUCAUUUUGCAUAUCGCAAAUAACGGUUUAUGUUUUUGGAGGUCUCUCCUUCUCUCUCUCUCUCUCUCUCUCUCUCUCUCUUUCUCGCCGACUGACGUUUGCGGAAGCUUUGUACCCACAAUGCCAGCAGGAAUGAUGAUGCAUUUAAUGCACCUCGGGGCGGUAAAGGGAUAAUAAGUGAAAGUGAAUGAAUCAGAAUGAUCAUUUUUCAGAAUCCCAAAAAACUCCACGAAGCACCAACCUGAUCCAUCAUACACUUUCCCUAUGAUCUAGCUCCCAGCUAAAGUGUCUUUAUAGUCCAACACUCCAGCAACUUCCACUCCAAAUACUUUACAACACACACACGUAACUUCCGCUCUGGUUUCAUUUGCCACUGCUGCCCCCCAUUCAGCAACACAGGAUCGGGGAGGGGGCCUUAGCUCGCAACGAACCUACCUCAAUGCGUGGCAACUCAGCCCAUACCGAAAAUCCAGCCCGUCCCCAUGGAAAUUGUUCCUCUUCCGCACGCACAUUACUCAUACGCACGGAAGUCGAGGGCUGAAAAACUCAAACUCCGAAUGGAUUGGAAUAUUAGCAACCCCGAAAAACCAACCCCUGUGCGGAAGGGAACUCCAAAGCACCCAAACCCAAACCCAACCCCAACCCCACCCACACCACAAAGCGCUGCCCCAGUCCACAAAUUGUUGAACCCCACGGAAAAAGUUUGUGUGCGUCGUCUUUUUGGCUUUUCAUUCGCAUUUAUUUUUGUUUAUUUAUGUUUUGCUUGUUGUAUUCUUCCUCUCUUUGGCUUCUCUCUCUCUCUCUCUCUAUGUUCUCUCUCUCUCUUUCAUCCAGCAAUUCUCUCUCUUUCUCUCUGCGCGCUCUCUCUGCUCAGCUUUUCGUACGGGUUUCACUUUCAUUGUGCAGCUUUUGCUCUCAUCGCGGGAGAACAACAGCAGCGCCACUCUCUCUCCUUCUCACUUGCCUUCUCUUUCGCACAGAGUUCUGUUAGUGUUUCUGGUUCUGGCCUGUUUCGGAGCUUUAGCUUUUGCCGAUUCAUUCAAAAGUAGUACGGCAAACGCAACGGUUGGCGAGGCUUUCAUCAGCCCCGCGCAAAAAAAAUAACGAAUUGGCCAACAAACAAAUCCCCAAACACCCGAAAGGGACAGAGAUAUACACACACAGUGAGCGCAAGUGAGAGAAAGUGAGAGUGAGAGUGAGAGUGAGAGUGAGAGCAAGUGUCGAAUCAUUUUGGAAUAUUUAUUGAAAUGUGCAAUAAUUAUAUGGGCGACCUUAUAUAAGCCCCAAAGGAAAGGAAAGCCCAUUGUCAAGGGCAAAUAGUGUGUCGUCUAACAUUGAGCCGUGACCGUGUACCCGUGUGCCCCCGUAUCCGUGUAUCGUUUCGCAUCGCAUCGAAUCGUGGCCCCCCGUGUGUGUGUCCUUGUCCUUGUCCUUGUGCAGCGCGUCAGAGCCUGGCCCGAACAGCUGCUUGGCGCUGUCUCUGGGCCUUGGCCCUGCUGGUCGUCUGCUGGGCCGUCCUUGUCCAUGUCCCCGACGACGCCUUGCUCUUGAACCACACCACACAACGCUGCAGCAACUUGAAGCUCGGCUCCAGCAGAGGACACUCGUCGCAAUUCCAGGCACCCAGCUGUUGCUCCACACCUCCCCCCACAGCCGCCACACCCAGCUGUUUGUUCGCUCGUUCGGUCAGUUCAAUAGUUCUGUAUAUAUGGGAAUUUAGAGGUAAAAAAAAAAACGAAUCCGAGUCCCGGACCCGUACCCGUACCCGUACCCAUCUGUGCAUCAGUGUCGCAAUGUGUUUCAACAAGCUAUUCCUGAUAAACAAAUUCCCCAAUCACACAAACAGCACAAAGGUCAAAUGUCAACAGCAGAGACCAAUAGCAAAGGUUUAAAACCACAAACACAACUAAAAAUCCAAUCAACUAGCAAUCAAAUCAAGUGAAAAUUACCAAUCCUGAGCAACUAAAAGCCACAAAAUAUACCUUUAAUAAACGCAGAACAAAGCUCCCCCAACCAACCAACACUCAACUAAAUGAAUAUAUUUUUCUAGAGGUGUUUAAAACAAAAAACUGAAGGAAAUACUCGUACAACAAAAUGAAUUAAAUUGAAUAUUUACUGCUCAGGUUUUACACAAAAAAAAAAAAACAACAAGAAAAGCUUAAAAAAAGGAUAAGAGGGAUCUGCAACAUCAAUGCGUUGUGUUUCAUGUGCAAAAUCUUAAGGAAUAUAUCUACUAUAAUACUAAACAUACACAUACAAAUAUAUAUUUUUGGAAAAAAUUACUAAAAUACUUAAGAAACAGCAAAAAAUCGUGUGAAACGUGUAUAAAAUAUUAAAAAUAUAAUAAGCAGCAAAAUAAGCAAAAACAAA